rnacentral:lncRNA from 1 species
UCAUCAUUUUUCUUCAGCAAAAACGCCAUGGAAGGUCUGAAAGCUGCUGGUUUUUCAUACUUUGACAUAUGUGAGUUCAAUUCUUGCCCUUUUCUUUGAGAUUUUUAUGUUUUUUGACUUUUACAAUUAAGUCCAAGUGUUUAAUUCAUUAGUUUUUUAUUUUAUGGACAAAAUUAAAAGUUAUCAUUGACAAGUGUUGGCUGUUUAUGAUGAAUUAAAAUGAAUUUGAAGCUUUGAUUUUAUUUUUUGAUGAUUUUAUCAAGUAAUUUCAAUAGAAAUUGAUUUUAGGACCUAAUUAUGAGAAAGUUGUGAAUUAAGGUUUAGUGUUAAAAUUAUAAUUUUCAAAGGUUGUGUAAUAGUUUAGAAUGAUGGAAUAAAUGUUAAUUGAGAAAAAUUAGCUUAUUAGAUGAGCUAAUUGAGCAAGGACUGAAUUGUAUGACCUGUGAAAUUUAGAGGAAAAUUGGUAAUAAACAUCUUGAACUAAAACAGUUUUGGACAGCAGCAGUAGGAUAAUUUUGUAAAAUCACCAUAAAUUGUAAAAAUCGAAUUAGAGGAUGAAUAAUAUAUGAAAUUAAAGCUUAUUGAGUCUAGUUUCUCAUAGAAGAAACGGUGUAAGCAAUUGAAUUGUAAAUUAUGUGCUAUAAUGAGUUUUGUGAGACAAGGUCAGAAUGAAUUCGGAUUCUCCUGUUUUAAAUUUAGAAAAUCACCAAAAAUUGGAGAAAAUUAAUUAGAGGCUCAAAUUUAUAUGCUUAGGAUCUUUAAUGAGUCUAUUUUCAAUAGAAAUCAACGGGAACAUUAUCCGAGUUCUGUACUGUGAUAUAAUUAAUUUUUAGUGAAGAGAGAUCAGAACUGUUGGAUAGUGAAACAGGGGAAACUUAAAUGAAUAAACUGUACUAAUUGGCUAAACCAAAAAUUAUGAAAUUUUUAUGGUAAGAAGACAUAUGAGUCUAGUUUCUGGGAAAAUUUAUGGAUCUUAAUUUGGAAUUCUGUAUCUCAAGAUAAAAAUAAUUUAGUAACUAUAACACAGAUGGACAGCGUGAAUAUUCACAUAAGUAGAUAGUGAAAAUUAUGGAUAAUGUUACCUAUAAGUGUGUUGUUUAUACUAAGGAUGUGGAUGGAGAGGAGGAGGAGGAAAAUAUACAUUUAUAUAUGAAUGACUUGUGUAUAAAUUGAUCACGUGCCCGAUUAUAAUCGAUAAAUGUUGAAUUAGAAAGGAUAUAAUGUUUUAUUUGGAAUAUUUAAUAUGAAAUUAUGAUUAUCGUUAUAAUACAAAAAUCGUACUAGUGAGUUUGUAUAACUAAAUUUUAGUGACCGUUUGUUAAUUUUAUGAAUUUCAUGAUGUGUUAUUUCAUAUGAAUUGAUGAUAAAAUCGUGAAUAAUGUAAGAGCAUGAAAAUUGAAUAAACGAUCAAAUUAAAUAUUUUCAGUGACAAGAUGAAUUGAUGGAAAAGACAAUGGUUGAUCCAUGGCAAAGUGCAAAAUAUAGGUAUGGUAUUAUCCAUACCGAGUUGUGAAAUGUAGGUAUGGUAUCAUCCAUACCGAGUUGAGAAAUAUAGGUAUGGUAUUAUCCAUACUGAGUUAAGAAAUGUAGGUAUGGCAUUUCCCAUACCGAGUUGUGAAACGUAGGUAUGGUAUUUUCCAUACCGAGUAUAAAAUGUAGGUAUGGUAUUUCAAUGAGGAAAACCAUACCGAGUGGUGAAUCGUGGCACUGAGCAAAUGACAGACUCAAAUUCGUAAGACAUUCUCUAAUUUGACAAAGAUUGAUAAGUGACAUAUGAAAUGAGUAUUUGUAGACUUAUGGUUAUUAUUGAUAUUGAGCUGAAUUAAGUGUACCCAUUGAUAUUUAAAUGAUUCAAGGGGUAAGGUUCUGAUAUGAGAUAAUAUGAGUUUGAAAUGAAUUAUCACCGGUAUAUACCUGAAUUAUAUGGAAAUGAUGGUACGUGAAAAAAAUUGAUAUAAUGAAAUGAAUAAUAAAUGUUUAUAAAGAAACAGCAAAAGAAUUAUAUCUAUCAUGAUAUGUAAAAGCGUGAUUAUCUUUUAUAUGUUGUUACAAGUGAAAUUUCUGUUAAAUGAUCUGUAAAUUUUGGUAAUACUCUGAAUCCCUAUUCCGACGACGGAUACGGGUUAAGGGUGUUACAGCCUUGCUUAUUGGCAUCUUCUUCAAUGUGUUUGAUAUUCUAGGUAGCAUUUAUGUGGUUGAUAAUCCUUAAUUCCCAUACAAGUUAUAAUAAUUUUGAAACACAUUAGUCAUUAUGAAUUAGCCAUUGGCUAUGUGUGAUCCAAAAUCUUAGACUUGGAGAGAACAAAUUUCUGUAGCAGGAAAUAUGCAUCUUUCUUUUUUGUAGGUACAAGAGAUUGUGAAGUGAAACUGAAAAUUACUGUCACGUCGAAAUAAUGGUUUCAAAUUGUGGGAAAAAAAAACAAAUGUUAUGUAGAUUGAAAAUCAAUAAUUCGUUUUAACUCAUUUGGUUUCUUUGAAUCUUUUUAUUAAGUCAACUAAGAAAUGAGAUUGUAGCUUCUUUGUUUUCAAGCAUCUGGCCAUAAAAUUAUGAACAAUCUUUUUCUCAUGAAUUUUCCGUAAGAAAUUAGAGAACUUGUUUCUCAGUUUGGAGCUUGGAAGUAUUAGUCAAGAAAUUAACAACUCUUAUUCCCAACUUCAAAUUACUCGAGAGUAAAAAAUCCCAUUAAAUAAAUCUGCAGGAGAG